rnacentral:rRNA from 1 species
UACGGAGGAUCCAAGCGUUAUCCGGAAUCAUUGGGUUUAAAGGGUCCGUAGGCGGUUUAGUAAGUCAGUGGUGAAAGCCCAUCGCUCAACGGUGGAACGGCCAUUGAUACUGCUAGACUUGAAUUAUUAGGAAGUAACUAGAAUAUGUAGUGUAGCGGUGAAAUGCUUAGAGAUUACAUGGAAUACCAAUUGACGGAAGGCAGGUUACUACUAAUGGAUUGACGCUGAUGGACG